rnacentral:rRNA from 1 species
UACGGGAGGCAGCAGUGGGGAAUAUUGCACAAUGGGCGAAAGCCUGAUGCAGCUAUGCCGCGUGUAUGAAGAAGGCCUUAGGGUUGUAAAGUACUUUCAUCGGGGAGGAAAAACAAAACUAAUAAUUUUAUUUCUUGACGUUACCCGAAAAAGAAGCACCGGCUAACUCCGUGCCAGCAGCCGCGGUAAUACGGAGGGUGCUAGCGUUAAUCAGAAUUACUGGGCGUAAAGAGCACGUAGGUGGUUUUUUUAAGUCAGAUGUGAAAUCCCUGGGCUUAACCUAGGAACUGCAUUUUGAAACUGAAAUACUAGAGUAUCGUAGAGGGAGGUAGAAUUCUAGGUGUAGCGGUGAAAUGCGUAGAUAUCUGGAGGAAUACCUGUGGCGAAAGCGGCCUCCUAAACGAAUACUGACACUGAGGUGCGAAAGCGUGGGGAGCAAAACAGGGAUUAGAUACC